UAGGGAAUCUUCCGCAAUGGACGCAAGUCUGACGGAGCAACGCCGCGUGAGUGAAGAAGGAUUUCGGUUCGUAAAACUCUGUUGUUAGAGAAGAACAGCGCAUAGAGUAACUGUUAUGCGUGUGACGGUAUCUAACCAGAAAGCCACGGCUAACUACGUGCCAGCAGCCGCGGUAAUACGUAGGUGGCAAGCGUUGUCCGGAUUUAUUGGGCGUAAAGCGAGCGCAGGCGGUCAAUUAAGUCUGAUGUGAAAGCCCCCGGCUCAACCGGGGAGGGUCAUUGGAAACUGGUUGACUUGAGUGCAGAAGAGGAGAGUGGAAUUCCUAGUGUAGCGGUGAAAUGCGCAGAUAUUAGGAGGAAUACCGGUGGCGAAGGCGACUUUCUGGCCAUAACCUGACGCUGAGGUACGAAAGCGUGGGUAGCAAACAGG
rnacentral:rRNA from 1 species